CUUCAACACAGUGGAGCGUAAAUCUGCCUCUCAUACAGUUGUUGAAUGUGACCAGAACCGAAAAGAGGUGAUAGUCCGUACUGGAGGCGCCACAGACAAAGCAGCAAGAAAAGCAUACACUUUUGACAUGGUUUUUGGUCCUUCUGCCAAACAAAUUGACGUUUAUAGGAGUGUGGUUUGCCCCAUAUUAGAUGAAGUUAUCAUGGGCUAUAACUGUACUGUCUUUGCAUAUGGACAAACUGGAACAGGGAAAACCUUCACAAUGGAGGGUGAAAGAUCACCCAAUGAGGAGUUUACUUGGGAAGAGG